GACGAGGUCCACAAACGUUAUUCGGAAUCACUGGGUUUAAAGGGUGCGUAGGUGGGUUGGUAAGUCAGUGGUGAAAUCCCCGAGCUUAACUUGGGAACUGCCAUUGAUACUAUUAAUCUUGAAUACCGUGGAGGUUAGCGGAAUAUGUCAUGUAGCGGUGAAAUGCUUAGAUAUGACAUAGAACACCUAUUGCGAAGGCAGCUUGCUACACAGUCAUUGACGCUGAGGCACGAAAGCGUGGGGAUCAAACAGG
rnacentral:rRNA from 1 species